ACCUAGAGGGGAGGAGCGUGGAGUCUUAUUGUGGGCACAAAUCAGACAUGAGGAGACAUAUCUUUUGACAUCCUUCUUAAAAUUUGGCCACUAAAAAGAUCUGGAUAGAAGCUCUUGAGUCUUUUUAACUCCCAGAUUAACCAUAACUAGU